ACUGCCCCCAGAGGCAUUGCAAGUGUGGCUCUUAUGUCACAUGUGUGUCAGUAGGUGGCAGAGAGGAGAGAGGCUAUGUCUACACCCAGUGUUCUGACCUAUGAACAUCUGAACGAUUAGUAGCCUAACAUU